rnacentral:rRNA from 1 species
AACGAACGCUGGCGGCAGGCCUAACACAUGCAAGUCGAGCGAGGACUUCGGUCCUAGCGGCGGACGGGUGAGUAACGCGUGGGAACGUGCCCUUUGCUUCGGAAUAGCCCUGGGAAACUGGGAGUAAUACCGGAUGAGCCCUUUGGGGGAAAGAUUUAUCGGCGAAGGAUCGGCCCGCGUUGGAUUAGGUAGUUGGUUGGGUAAUGGCCUACCAAGCCGACGAUCCAUAGCUGGUUUGAGAGGAUGAUCAGCCACACUGGGACUGAGACACGGCCCAGACUCCUACGGGAGGCAGCAGUGGGGAAUCUUAGACAAUGGGGGAAACCCUGAUCUAGCCAUGCCGCGUGAGCGAUGAAGGCCUUAGGGUUGUAAAGCUCUUUCAGCUGGGAAGAUAAUGACGGUACCAGCAGAAGAAGCCCCGGCUAACUCCGUG